rnacentral:tRNA from 1 species
UCCCUGGUGGCCUAGUGAUUAAGAACUCAGCACUGUCACUGCUGUGGCUCAGGUUGGAUCCCUGGUCUGGGAA